rnacentral:rRNA from 1 species
ACGGCUCAGUAACACGUGGAUAACCUACCCAAUAGUCUGGGAUAACCCCGGGAAACUGGGGACAAUACCGGAUGGAUCAUCUUUGCUGGAAGGCUUGGUGGUUGAAACUCUUCGGGGGCUGUUGGAUGGGUCUGCGGCUGAUUAGGUUGUUGCCGGUGUAAUGUACCGUCAAGCCUGUAAUCAGUACGGGUUGUGGGAGCAAGAGCCCGGAGAUGGAUUCUGAGACACGAAUCCAGGCCCUACGGGGCGCAGCAGGCGCGAAAACUCUACAAUGCAGGCAACUGCGAUAGGGGAACAUCGAGUGAUCCUCAUAUUGGGGGUCUGUCCACCCGCCUAAAAAGCGGGUGUUAGCAAGGGCCGGGCAAGACCGGUGCCAGCCGCCGCGGUAAUACCGGCGGCUCGAGUGGUGGCCGAUAUUAUUGAGUCUAAAGGGUCCGUAGCCGGCUUUGCAAGUCUCUCGGGAAAUCCAGCGGCUUAACCGUUGGUCGUCCGGGGGGUACUACAUUGCUUGGGACUGGGAGAGGCGAGAGGUACUCAGGGGGUAGGAGUGAAAUCCUGUAAUCCUCUGGGGACCACCGGUGGCGAAGGCGUCUCGCCAGAACAGGUCCGACGGUGAGGGACGAAAGCUAGGGGCACGAACCGGAUUAGAUACCCGGGUAGUCCUAGCCGUAAACGAUGCUCGCUAGGUGUCACAACAGUCGUGAACUGUUGUGGUGCCGUAGGGAAGCCGUGAAGCGAGCCACUUGGGAAGUACGACCGCAAGGUUGAAACUUAAAGGAAUUGGCGGGGGAGCAC